rnacentral:rRNA from 1 species
CCCUUAGAUGUUCUGGGCCGCACGCGCGCUACACUGAACAGUUCAACAAGUCUUAACCUUGGCCGAUAGGUCUGGGUAAUCUUUGAACGCUGUUCGUGACUGGGAUAGACCUUUGCAAUUAUGGGUCUUCAACGAGGAAUUCCUAGUAAACGCAAGUCAUCAGCUUGCAUUGAUUACGUCCCUGCCCUUUGUACACACCGCCCGUCGCACCUACCGAUUGAAUGGUCCGGUGAAAUCUCGGGACGGCGGCUUGGUCGCUUGCGUCCGACUGCUGAAACUUGAUUAAACCAUAUCAUUUAGAGGAAGGUGAAGUCGUAACA